rnacentral:rRNA from 1 species
UGCCUUUUGAUGAUAAUAGAAGGUAACUCCUGCCCAGUGAAAAUAAUUUCAACGGCCGCGGUAUCCUAACCGUGCAAAGGUAGCAUAAUCACUUGCCUAUUAAUUGUAGGCUGGAAUGAACGGAUAAACGAAAUAAGAUCUGUCUCUACUAAUUGGCUAUAAAUUAUAUUUUAGAUGAAGAUAUCUAAAUAAAAACGAAGGACAAGAAGACCCUAUAGAGCUUUAUUUAAAUAAAAGAAUAAAUCUUUUUGUAAAUUCGGUUGGGGCGACCAAGGGACUGUAAUCACCCUUAAUUUUAAGAUUUAUGAAUCUUUUCCAUGACCCUUUUAUUAAGAACAUAAAAACAAGCUACCUUAGGGAUAACAGGCUAAUCCUAUUUAAGAGUCCUUAUCUAUAAUAGGGGUUGGCACCUCGAUGUUGGCUUAGGGUAUCUUUAUGGCGCAAAAGUCAUAGGUAGAAGGUUUGUUCAACCUUUAAUUCCCU